rnacentral:rRNA from 1 species
GGGACGAACGCUGGCGGCGUGCUUAACACAUGCAAGUCGAGCGGUAAGGCCUUUCGGGGUACACGAGCGGCGAACGGGUGAGUAACACGUGGGUGAUCUGCCCUGCACUCUGGGAUAAGCCUGGGAAACUGGGUCUAAUACCGGAUAUGACCUGCUCUCGCAUGGGGGUGGGUGGAAAGAUUUAUCGGUGCAGGAUGGGCCCCGCGGCCUAUCAGCUUGUUGGUGGGUAAUGGCCUACCAAGGCGACGACGGGUA